ACAUAAAGAAAAAAGAAACUAUUAAAACACUUCAUAAAAUUUCAGCUAAAUUUCUAUCAAACACAAUAUUUUUCUUUAAAUAGUAAGCAAUCGUAGUGUAUAUCACUGUAGAGUACAUCCACGGAGUAUUCGGUAAAAAGCUGACAGAUCACAAAUGGACCAGAUAAACUGUGCAAUAAUUCAACUCAUUGACAGCAAACAAAUAAACUCACU